rnacentral:tRNA from 1 species
GUAAAUGUAAUUUAAUUAAAAAUAUUAGAUUGUGAUUCUAAAAAUAAAAGUUAAAAUCUUUUCAUCUACC